GGUUGCGAUCAUACCAGCACUAAUGCACCGGAUCCCAUCAGAACUCCGCAGUUAAGCGUGCUUGGGCGAGAGUAGUACUAAGAUGGGUGACCCCCUGGGAAGUCCUCAUGUUGCAACCC
rnacentral:rRNA from 1 species